ACCUUAUUGAGUACAGAAGUGGCACUUGGAUUAAGCAUUUGAAAAACAUUAAUGCAUGGUACCCAAUACCAAUUGGCAGGCCAACAUAUAAGAACAAAUUUUGCUUAAUUGUAUUUCAGAUAUAUAGAGAAGCAUGUACUGAUUUUUAUUUGCACAAAAUGAUUAGUCGUAGAUUGUCAUAGAGAUUUUGUAGUCAUUUCAUUCAAAUGGCUUAAAACUAACAUAAAAAUGUGGCAAUCCAUUGGCACAAAUAGACUUCAUACAGUACUCUCAAGUCUACAAUACAAUACCAAUUGGCAAGCCAACAUUCAGAGAAGCAUCUACUGAACUUAGGUUGUAGAAAUUCAGAGAAGCAUGUUCUGGAUUUAGCAAGUAGAAAUUCAGAGAAGCAUGAGUGGAGGAGCCGAUUCUACCGUUUCGUGUAUGCUGUCUACCUUUUCCUAUUAUCAGUUGGGAUGUCACUUUUUCUGUCUUCCAUGCUCAGGGUCUUUUGAUAUAGAACUUGUUGACUAUCUGACUUCCAUGCUACAAAAGAUAGGCAUCUCCUAAAUUAUGUUUGCUAAUUCUUUCAUUUAGCCAAGUUGGAUGUCAAUCCUCCCAAUUAUGUGCUUAUAUAAUAACAGAACAUAUUAGAGAAUAGAGAUAUGUUCAGUGACAUGCAUUCUGUUUCAUGCAAAGCACAUAAACUCUAUAUUAUAGGCCAUUGCAUUUUGUUUACUCGGUAUAUUAAGAAAUAGGAGUACAAUUGUAGUCAUGUUUUUUUAUGUUACUCUUUGUAUUUAUGAAUUUUGACCCAAAUCUGCCACGAGGUGAACUUUGACUGAUGUCCAUCAUUUUGGUCAAUAUUAUUUUGUUGUCUCAAGCGCAGAUUCUUCUAAUUACGGUACUCCUAAUAAUUGAAUAUGUGGGGAGAGUCAGUGUUCCAUGAAACCAGAUUGCUUUCCUUGCUACAGAGUAUGAGCCACCUAGGUUUGUUUCCCGUCAGCUAACUUCCUACACCAAGCCGGCGGCUUGAUGUUGAGGUAAAGUCUUAAAGAAAAUUCUGAUCGAAGUUUGUACCUGAUCAAAGUUUGCUGGCUUGGUGGCGAGGGCGUCAACAUGGCGACGGCGGCAGCCCGCGCUCGCAUCCGUUGGUCAGCAGAGGAGAGCAGCAGGCGGCCACGGCGCCCCGCGCUCAUGUCCGUGGGCCAGCAGAGGUGAAGCCGACGGUGGCGCCGGAGACUCUCGCUCGCAUCCAUGGGGCAGUGUAGGAGAGGCAAGUGGCGACGGCGGUCUGUGCUCGCGUCAUUGGGGCAGUAGAGGAGCGGACGGCGGCGACUGAGUCCCGUGUUUGCGUCUUUGGGGUAGCAGAAGAGGAGCGGACAAGGGACAACGGCAGCGUCGAUCCGCGCUCACGUCCAUAGGGCAGC
rnacentral:rRNA from 1 species